ACAGUCUCAUUAUAUUGCCGAGGCUGACCUUGAACUCCUGGGCCCAAGCAGUCCUCCCACCUCAGCCUCUCCAGUAGUUGGGACUGCAGGCAUGCACCACUGUGCCAGGCUAAACCGUAACAUUUUCUUGUGGUUGAUUAUGUCACCCUUCAGACUCAGUAGUUCUUGAUGUCUUUCCUUGUAGGAAAGCAGCUGCUGUUUUGGAUCUCAGUUUGAUUGAGGUGGUGACUAUCCCUUUGGUACCAUUGAGACCAGAAACCAGACCAGUUGGACAUUGUUUUUUUCUGGUUAUCCUGUCCUGCCUUACUAUGAGAUUUACGGAUGUUUGGGGACACAGGUCUCUGGGCUCAUUUCUUUUUCUGAGGAUUCAUAUAAUUGCCUAGUUUUUGGCUUAGAGGUUGGUCCUUCCCUGGUUUAAUGAUGCUUUUGUUCAGACUGUCCUCUAGGACUUGAAUUUGAAGCAGAAACAGAACAGCACCUGAUCCUCAGUUAUACUGCAAAGCAGGGCCUCAGAAAGGGUAACUCCAAUUACUGACUUUCACCUAAGGUGAAAAAGCAUCCGGCUUCUUUCCCCUUGGCAUCUUUGGAUCUUCUGAGAAUGGUGGCUGAAGGCAGAGGGCCUGGGGACAAGCCAGCCUGGACAUGACUCCUCUGCUGCUUAUUAAUUCCUUACCUGAACUACUCUUGGGACCUCGAUUCCUUCAUGGGCAAAAUGGUCACAUAAUAGCACCAUCACAAGACUUGCCAGGAAUCUAGAGCAAGAGGAUAACGUCUAAAGCAUCUAGCUCAGGUCCUCACAUCUGGAAGGUAUUAAAUACAGGCUAGCUCCUUCCAUAGAUGCCCAUCCAAAGAUGCAUACAUGAGGUGGCAGGGGAUUAAACUAUAUGACCCCUGAGAUCCUUUCCAGUUCUUAGCUUUGAGGGGGGUCAAUGGCAGUAAUUCAGAUAUAUUGUUUAUCAUAGUUAAUUGAGUAUCAACAUGUCAAAUUGGCAUUUAUUGUGUUACCUUGGGCAAAUGAUAUAACUUAAGUCUUAAUUUUCUUCAUUCUUGAAAUGGGAUAGUAAGAGUACCUACCUCAUAAUGUUAUGAAGGUUUAAUGAGAUAGCCUCAUGCCAGGCACAGAGUACACAGUAAGUGCUCAAUACUUAACUAUUAUUGUUAGAUGUUGGUUUGCUUAUUCUUCUGGCUCUGAUUUUUUUCCCCUUUACUCUUUUUGUUUUUGUUUGCAUUUCAGGGUGAAACUUCCUACAUCCGAGUUUAUCCUGAGAGAAGCACCAGCUAUGGCUACUCACGGUCUCGGUCUGGGUCAAGGGGCCGUGACUCUCCAUACCAAAGCAGGGGUUCCCCACACUACUUCUCUCCUUUCAGGCCCUACUGAGACAGGUGAUGGGAAUUUUUUCUUUAUUUUUUAGGUUAACUGAGCUGCUUUGUGCUCAGAAUCUACAUUCCAGAUUGAGGAUUUAGUGUCUUAGGAAAUUUUUUUAAUUUUUUUUUUUUAAAGAAGAAAAAAAACUACAUAAUUUCUACCAGGGCCAUAUUAGCAGUGAAACAUUUUAAACUGCAGAAAUUGUGGUUUUGGUUCAGAAACAAGUUGUAUAUUUUUCACCCCUGAUUAUGGGAAAAAAAUCAGUUCUGUCUUUGUGGGUUGCUCUACUAUGGAGAUCAACAGUUACUGUGACUGAGUCGGCCCAUUCUGUUUAGAAA
rnacentral:lncRNA from 1 species